UACUGCGCUUUUAACAAUCCGUCAAGCUAUCUUACCUCAGAAUCAAAAAAUGACAUUUUUAUUAUUAUUAUUUUUUAUUUUAGAGAGAGAGCGUGAGCAGGAGAGAGGGGCAGAGGGAGAGAGAGAGAGACUCUUCAGCAGGCUCCACACUCAGGGCAGAGCCCAACACAGAGCUUGAUCCUAUAACUCUGGGAUCAUGACCUGAGCCAAAAUCAACUGUGAGCCACCAAGAUGCCCUUCAAAAAUGACAUUUAAAUUUGAACACAGAACCUUAUUAAUAUAAAAAAAAUAAAUUUUCUUGGCAGAAAUUUGAUGUUGGGACACCUGGAUGGCUCAGUCAGUUGAGCAUCUGACUCUUGAUUUCAGCUCAGCUCCUGAUUCCAGGGUUCUGGGAUUGAGCCCCACGUUGGACUCUGCCCUGCAUGGAACCUGCUUGGGAUUCUCUGUUUCCCUCUCUCUCUGCCCCUCCUCUGCGUGUGCUUUCUCUCUCUCUCUCUCAAAAUAAAUAAAUAAACUUAAAAAAAUUUUUUAAUCUUGAUCUUGGGAGUUUUAACAUAUGCAUCUAGUAUACAUCAAGAAUCCUGUGAAUUUUUCCAAUAGUGGAUAUAAAUUGAUCAGGGAUUUGUCUCACUUCAAAUUGAGUUUAUAUAUUUCCAACAGGGACAUCACGUCAUAUUGGAAACUAAGGAACUAGUUCCAUGCUCAUCUCUGUUUUUCUAGAAACAUAAGGCUCAACACCCCAUCCUGAAAUAAAUUCCAGCUUCCGCCUUCCUGUGUGAGGAAUCUUGACACACAUUCUACUUUCCCAGAAAUGGAGUGUCAUGUAUAUGUAUAGAAACACAAAUAUGCACAUCGUGGAUUUGAAAACCAAAAUAAUCCAUGGACAUCUACUUGGUGAUAAGGUUGGGGUGGAAAUAUAAAAUAGAGUAAAUUAGUCCUAUUUAUAAAGCAAUUCAUUAACUUAUAAAAAUAUCUAUUGACUGCUAUGAGUUAGAUAUUGUUCUUAGAGUUGGGGGUAGCAUGGGGUAUGGAGGGAAAUCAGACAAGAACUAUGUUUUUAAGGAGCCUAGAUUCUAGCAAGGGGAGAAAGCACAGAAAAUAAGAUAAUUACAGACAGUGAUAGGUGCAGUAAAGGAAACAGACACGGUAAGUACAAUGACAUCACCCAGGAGUGUUUAGGGUGGGAGGUGUUUUAUCCCCAUAAUAUUCAUCAACCCUACCACCACUAUUACUGGUCUUUGAGAAGACUACUGAUAGUCUCUCAGUCUAAUGUAAAUUGCUAUGUAAAUGAAUCUUCAAGACACGUGUCAUAGCCCUUCCCACUAUCCCACAUUCUCAACCAGAUUAUUUAUUGUCCCUAAACUAUUCUUCAAUAAAAGUUCUGGAGCCAUCACAGAGUACUUAAUGGAAAGUGACUGGCUAUUUUAAAUAGAAUAGUCCAUACAGCUUCUCUGAGAAGACCACUAGACAAUCGAAUUGAAAGAUGAGAAAGAGGCAACUCCAGGAAGAGGUAGAGAAAAGUGUUCAAGGACAGGAAGGAAUGCAAAGGCCCUGAGGCAGAAAGAGUUUAUAGUGAACUCAGAGUAGAGAGAUCAGUGUGGCAGAGGAGGAGCUGGUGUUAAGAGCUAAGUGAGGUAGGUAGAAGCCAGAAGCGUUCUGGGCUGAACCAGAGGGGCCUGGCUAUAAGCAGGAGAGUGACGCUAUUUGAUUUACAGUUUUAACAGAUUUAACUCAGAAUUGAAAACAAAAAUGGAAACAGGAAGACCUCUCAGCAAAACAUCACAGUAGCUCAGGGGAAGAUGAUGAUAGCAUGGCCUUGUGGGCAGCUUUGGAAGGAGAAAUGGACAAAUGAGGUAUACCUUGGAGAUAAAACAGGAAGCUGCUUUGCUCUUGUGCCUCCAUCAUCUCAACAUCUGGCCAUCAUUAUCAUCCUAAAGGAGAAGGCAGAACUAAAAGUUUACACGGGACCUUUCUCUACCUCAGCCCAGAAGGGACAGAUAUCAUAUAGGCUGCCUACAGCCUAUAGGACAGCACAAGGGAUGAGCUUACUUUUGCCCAGCAUGCUACCCCAUAUUCCUGGAUCCAGUAAAUGGUCUCAUUCCUGGAAUGAAACCCAGGAGUUUAUUUGAUAAUUGAAGAAAAAGAUGUUCUCUGUCCUUCUGACAUGAACAAGGAAUCAUAUGGCCUCAGAACUAUUGACAUUCAUCUUGCAGCCAUGAAGGAAGUCUGCCUGGGGGUACAGCUUCCAUAGUAGAAGCCAGAACAGAGAGAGGAAAAGAAAUGAGGCCCUUGACACCAUCAAGACUUAUCUCUAUGGCCUGAAUCAUCUCUGGCCUGAACAACCUCUUGCCUUUUAGGUGAGACAAUGAAUUUCUUUUGUUAAAUCAGUGUGAAUUGGAUUUUCUGUUGAUUUCAACAAAAAGACUGAUUGUUAUUAAUUAAUACCAACAAUGAUCCAGCCACCCUGCACUACCUUCGGUUCUCUAGAAUAUGUGUAUUUUCACUUCAAAAUAAGGUGAAACUGAGCCGAAAAUAUAUUGACAAUAGUUACCACAAAAAGAGUGGUCCAGGCCCCUGUUGUUAUGGUUGCAGAACAAAAUUAUCACCUGCAGCAUCUAUGAAAUAUUUUAAAAAAUCAAGAACAUCUCAUAUUUUCAGCUGUUGAGGAGUGUCAUUCCUUAAGUGUCAUCCCUUAAGUCCACAAGUUGACUUGUGGACAUCAGUAAUUUUAGGGCAUCGGUCUGGACAAAUGACUAUGGGAAGCUCUCUGAGGUCCAAGUUUCUCUCAAAACUAUCUGUUGAGAGGUGCUUGGCUGGCUCAGUUGGUAGAGCAUGUGACUCUUGAUCUCAGGGUGGGGAGUUCAAGCCUCAUGUUGAGUGUAGAGUUUACUUAAAAAACAACAAAUAACAAUAACAACAGCAGCAGCAACAACAAGCUAUCUGUUGAGCAAUUGGGUUUGAUGCCCAUGAGAAUAAACUUUGGCACAAUUUAAAGACCUUCAUCUGAGGCCCGACAGCUUGGAUAUGGAAAGUAUGUGGACAGAAAAAUUCCUGUUGAGUCAAAAUUAUGCUUCUAACUUCCCAGUGUGGUCAUACGAAUGGGGAAGUGUGUGUCCCUUCAAGUAUAUGCAACUCAGCUCCAGCCAGUGUGACUGAGUCAACUCGACAGGGUUUUGAGGUGACAUAAAAGGGGAAAAUGGAAAAACGUUUUUCAAUCGGAGAAGCCAGACCCUCCCUUACCUUCAUAUUACAAUUCUCUCAUCUUUUCACCACAUUUGAACAGCUAGAGAAGCCUCCAAGAAAUGAUGAUAUAACAACACUUAAAAGUUGCCAAGGUGGGGCGCCUUGGUGGCUCAGUUGGUUAAGUGACUGACUCUUGAUUUCGGCUCAGGUCGUGAUCUUGCAGUUGGUGGGAUUGAGUCCCACGUUGGGCUUUGUGCUGACAGUAGGGAGCCUGCUUGGGAUUCUCUUUAUUUCUCUCUCUGUGCCCCUCCCCUGCACACGUGCACAUGCACAGCCUCUCUCUCUCUCUCUCUCUCUC